rnacentral:rRNA from 1 species
UACGUAGGGGGCUAGCGUUGUCCGGAAUCAUUGGGCGUAAAGCGCGUGUAGGCGGUCCGGUAAGUCCGCUGUGAAAGUCGGGGGCUCAACCCUCGAAUGCCGGUGGAUACUGUCGGGCUAGAGUGCGGAAGAGGCGAGUGGAAUUCCUGGUGUAGCGGUGAAAUGCGCAGAUAUCAGGAGGAACACCAAUUGCGAAGGCAGCUCGCUGGGACGUUACUGACGCUGAGAACGCGAAAGCGUGGGGAGCAAACAGG